CAUCACCGAUCCGACCAACUGCCCAAUACCUGGGCACGGCGCCAAGGCAAUCGCCUCGGGUUCCUCCGAUGU
rnacentral:sRNA from 1 species